rnacentral:rRNA from 1 species
CAAUAGCGUAUAUUAAAGUUGUUGCAGUUAAAAAGCUCGUAGUUGGAUUUGUGGUUCGUCCCGCCGGCUGGGUCAUUGACCUUUGCUGUGCUGGUCGUCCAUCCUUGGGUGGAAUCUGUGUGGCAUUAGGUUGUCGCGCAGGGGAUGCCCAUCGUUUACUGUGAAAAAAUUAGAGUGUUCAAAGCAGGCUUAUGCCGUUGAAUAUAUUAGCAUGGAAUAAUGAUAUAGGACCUUGGUACUAUUUUGUUGGUUUGCGCACUGAGGUAAUGAUUAAUAGGGACAGUUGGGGGUAUUCGUAUUCCAUUGUAAGAGGUGAAAUUCUUGGAUUUUUGGAAGACGAACUACUGCGAAAGCAUUUACCAAGGAUGUUUNCAUUAA